rnacentral:rRNA from 1 species
GACGGAGGGGGCAAGCGUUGUCCGGAAUCACUGGGCGUAAAGGGUGCGUAGGCGGGUUAUUAAGUCAGAGGUGAAAUCCUGGAGCUCAACUCCAGAACUGCCUUUGAUACUGAUAGUCUUGAGUAUGGGAGAGGUGAGUGGAACUGCGAGUGUAGAGGUGAAAUUCGUAGAUAUUCGCAAGAACACCAGUGGCGAAGGCGGCUCACUGGCCCAUUACUGACGCUGAGGCACGAAAGCGUGGGGAGCAAACAGG